UACGCAGGGUGCGAGCGUUGUCCGGAAUUAUUGGGCGUAAAGAGCUCGUAGGCGGUCUGUCGCGUCUGCUGUGAAAUCCCGAGGCUCAACCUCGGGCCUGCAGUGGGUACGGGCAGACUAGAGUGCGGUAGGGGAGAUUGGAAUUCCUGGUGUAGCGGUGGAAUGCGCAGAUAUCAGGAGGAACACCGAUGGCGAAGGCAGGUCUCUGGGCUGUAACUGACGCUGAGGAGCGAAAGCAUGGGGAGCGAACAGG
rnacentral:rRNA from 1 species